rnacentral:rRNA from 1 species
GUUUUACUAAUUUAUAAUUUUGAAUAAGUAGAAUUUAUUAAUUUUUUAGUUAUAGAUUAGUUUGGUUGGGGUGAUUGAAAAAUUUAAUAAACUUUUUUUUUAUUUUUACAUUUAUUUAUGAAUAUUUGAUCCUUUGUUAAUAAAGAUUAUAAGAAUAAAU